UCGUUAUAAUAUAGUUCAUGAUUAUUGAAAGGAAGAAAUAGAUCUUCUAAGCAAUUGAGGGUCAAGAAGUUUUUUACCAGACAAGGAGUAUACUGGAUGUUGGCUAACUUCUAAAGUAGGCUGCUACCAAUUCAUGAUUACUCGUAUUCACUCCAAAGUGAUUGUUUGUAACUCAUUUUGUUCAGUUGAAGCAACCAUGGGCAGCCAGGACACUGCCCGUAAGCCGCAGUUCCUUAGAGUGCUUCCAAAAGAUUUCAUGGAAAAGAUGGUUUGCGGACUGUUGCUACAAAUUUGUUUUCUCACUUUGUUUGAUCGGAAUGGCCUGACUUUCCUCUUUUUGUGUGUUCUUGCAGCUAAUACCUGCUAAGUUUGUGCAAUACAUCCCAAAGAGCACUUGGACAACCGUAAGGCCAUUGUUUCCGGCCCCCUUGGCAAAGUUUCUUCUAUCGAGCUCGAGAUGAAUCGUUCAGAAGUGUUCUUCAGAGGUGGCUGGUCACAGUUUCUGGUGCUUCAUGACAUCACUGAAGAUAAUUCUUUGCUGUUGACGUACGAGGGCAACAUGGUGUUUACAGUCAAAGUCUUUGAGGUUGACGGACGCCAGAGAGAGUCCAAACACAAGGACAUCAGAAUGCAACAAAUAUCAACAUUACCAUAUAUUCAAGAGCGGCAGGAAGAAUCAUCUGUUUCCAUUCAGAAGCGUUGCAACAGUAAUUGGCUUAGCAGCGAUGGACAAAAGAGGCAAAAAGGCCCCAUUACUCGUCUAAAGAAGGCACCAUUAUGGAAGAAAUCUGUCUUCAAGAUUGGGCCGCCAUCAUGGAUAAAGAAGGAGAUAAAUGCCAACUCACUUAAAAGGGAACUUGCUUUGUCAGCAGCUUUCUGUGGUGCAAUUGGGCUGCCGAAACAUUGCACAAUCACGCUCAAGACCUCAAUGAGCAGUACUGAAUCCUGGCAGGUGCUUGCUCUCCCAUCGAAGAAGGGGAGCUACCAGCUUAGGAAGGGUUGGAGGAGGUUCUGCAAGGAGAACAGCCUCAAGAUAGGAGACAUCUGCACCUUCAAUGUCGUGGAGGCCACAAUGUGGCACGUUGUUGUCACACGGUGUAAGGAAACAAUGAAUCAGCUCUGUUAUUUGAGUUAGUACUGAAGCACCUCUCCCUUUUAUCUUAUCAAACAUGAACAUUAACACACAAUCAAAACAGCAGGAAUAUCCUACUAUUUCCAGUAGGAUGCAUAUGAGCAAGAACAAGUGGUCAAGAAGUAAAAGGAACAAGAGACUAGACGGCUCCAGGAGUUCUUUAAAUAAGGCAGCAUUUCACAGGAAAUCUUUCUAUGAGAUUGGGCCCCCAUCAUGGAUAAAGAAAGUGAUCAACGGGCACACACUUGAAAAGUAUCUUGCUUUAGCAACAGAUUUUUGUGAUGCGAUUGGGUUGCGGGAAUCAUGUAUGAUCACACUGAAGACGUCAAUGGACAGUACCGGAUCUUGGCAGGUGUGUGGUAUCUCAAUCAAGAAUUGCCGCAGCUACCUGCUUAUAAAGGGCUGGAGGAGGUUCUGCCAGGAGAACAGUCUCAAGAAAGGUGACAUCUGCACCUUCAAUGUUAUCGAAACCACAGUGUGGCAUGUCAUUAUCACGCGCUAUAAAGAACAGAUAGAUCUGCCCUGCUAUGUUCUAGUAUGAAGCGUAAAAGAGUGAACAACAGGUCAAGUAAUGAAGAACAAAAGAGUUCCAAAGGUUCUAUGAUUUCAUGGUGCAAGGCGUCAUCAAAGACAGGAUGCAUCUUUGAGAUUGGACCACCAGCUUGGAUAAAGAAGGAGAUCAAUAUGUGGGCAAUUAGAAAUACUCUCUAUUUGCCACCGGUCUUCUGUAAGGCGAUUGGAAUCCGGGAACCUUGCAAGAUCACCCUCAAGACCUCAAUGAGCAGCAUCACAUCUUGGCAGGCACGUGUUAUCCCGUACAAUCACAGCAGCCACCAUGUUAAUGGUCUGACGAGAUUCUGCCAGGAUAAUGGGAUCAAGGUAGGGGAUGUGUGCACCUUCAAAAUUGUCGACACUACCCUGUGGCAUGUCAUCAUCGAGCCUCGGUAACCUAGGACAAGUUAGUACAUCAAUUCAGUAUUGUUCCUAGC